AGUGAACGCUGGCGGUAGGCCUAACACAUGCGAGUCGAACGGCAGCACAGUAAGAGCUUGCUCUGACGGGUGGCGAGUGGCGGACGAGUGAGGAAUACAUCGGAAUCUACUUUUUCGUGGGGGACAACGUAGGGAAACUUACGCUAAUACCGCAUACGACCUACGGGUGAAAGCAGGGGAUCUUCGGACCUUGCGCGAUUGAAUGAGCCGAUGUCGGAUUAGCUAGUUGGCGGGGUAAAGGCCCACCAAGGCGACGAUCCGUAGCUGGUCUGAGAGGAUGAUCAGCCACACUGGAACUGAGACACGGUCCAGACUCCUACGGGAGGCAGCAGUGGGGAAUAUUGGACAAUGGGCGCAAGCCUGAUCCAGCCAUACCGCGUGGGUGAAGAAGGCCUUCGGGUUGUAAAGCCCUUUUGUUGGGAAAGAAAAGCAGCAGGUUAAUACCCCGCUGUUCUGACGGUACCCAAAGAAUAAGCACCGGCUAACUUCGUG
rnacentral:rRNA from 1 species